rnacentral:rRNA from 1 species
CCUACGGGAGGCAGCAGUGGGGAAUAUUCCACAAUGAGCGAAAGCCUGAUGCAGCGACGCCGCGUGAAUGAAGAAGGUUUUCGGAUUGUAAAGCUCUGUUAGCAGGGAAGAAGAAGUACAGUACCUACAGAUUGCGCCCCGACUUACUCCUUGCCAGCAGCCUCGGUAAUACGUAGGGUGCAAGCGUUGUUCGGAAUUAAUGGGCGUAAAGGAUUCGUAGGAGGUUAAAGAAGUUAUAUGUUAAAUAGAUGGGCUUAAACCGUAGAAAGCAUAUAAAACUGGUUAACUAGAGUUCAGGAGAGGUAAGUGGAAUUCCAAGUGUAGCGGUGAAAUGCGUAGAGAUGAGGAAGAACACCAGUGGCGAAGGCGACUUACUGGACUGAAACUGACGCUGAGGCACGAGAGCAUGGGGAGCAAACAGGAUUAGAUACCCGAGUAGUC